rnacentral:rRNA from 1 species
AUGGCUCAGGAUGAACGCUAGCGGCAGGCUUAACACAUGCAAGUCGAGGGGCAUCGGGAGUAGCAAUACUUGCCGGCGACCGGCGCAAGGGUGCGUAACGCGUGAGCAACAUGCCCGUAUCAGGGGGAUAAUCCAUGGAAACGUGGUCUAAUACCCCAUAGUAAUUAUGUAAGGCAUCUUAUAUAAUUUAAAGCUUUGGUGGAUACGGAUUGGCUCGCGUGACAUUAGCUGGAUGGUAAGGUAACGGCUUACCAUGGCUACGAUGUCUAGGGGUUCUGAGAGGAAGGUCCCCCACACUGGAACUGAGACACGGUCCAGACUCCUACGGGAGGCAGCAGUGAGGAAUAUUGGACAAUGGAUGGAAAUCUGAUCCAGCCAUGCCGCGUGCCAGGAAGACGGCCCUAUGGGUUGUAAACUGCUUUUGUAUGGGAGCAAUAGGGGCUACGUGUAGUCCGAUGAGAGUACCAUACGAAUAAGCACCGGCUAACUCCGUGCCAGCCGCAGC